UACGUAGGGUGCGAGCGUUGUCCGGAAUUAUUGGGCGUAAAGAGCUCGUAGGCGGCUUGUCGCGUCGGAUGUGAAAGCCCGGGGCUUAACUCCGGGCCUGCAUUCGAUACGGGCAGGCUAGAGUUCGGUAGGGGAGAUCGGAAUUCCUGGUGUAGCGGUGAAAUGCGCAGAUAUCAGGAGGAACACCGGUGGCGAAGGCGGAUCUCUGGGCCGAUACUGACGCUGAGGAGCGAAAGCGUGGGGAGCGAACAGG
rnacentral:rRNA from 1 species